rnacentral:rRNA from 1 species
UACAGAGGUCCCAAGCGUUGUUCGGAUUCAUUGGGCGUAAAGGGUGCGUAGGCGGCGUCGUAAGUCGGGGGUGAAAUUUCGGAGCUCAACUCCGAAACUGCAUUCGAUACUGCGGUGCUUGAGGACUGGAGAGGAGACUGGAAUUUACGGUGUAGCGGUGAAAUGCGUAGAGAUCGUAAGGAAGACCAGUGGCGAAGGCGGGUCUCUGGACAGUUCCUGACACUGAGGCACGAAGGCCAGGGGAGCAAACGGG